GUUGUGGCUUUGUGGAAACGAUCAAAACCAUAAGAUGACGCAAACAGAUCUUAGAUGGACGUGCUUUUAGAUUCGGAGUAUACUGGGUUGUGUCUAUAAGUGGCAAAUAUCAAGAACAUACAUACAGAUCAUGGACGAAGGUGUUGUCAGAUCUGGAGCAUAAAUGGGUUACCAUGGAAACGUACCUCUACAUCUAGGCAAUGGUUUGGAUGACGGACGUUCAUAUGUGUAAAGUUAGAUAAAGCAGAUUUUGGGGCAUAUUGGGGGUGUAUGUUUACUUUUCUUUUCUGUGUAGACAUUAUGAUUUGUUUCUUUAUAUCUUUACACAUGCCUUUCUGUAUCUAUACACUCAACAGGGUUUCCAUAGAAACAUAAGUAACAUCUAGGCAGCGGUAUAAUGGAAGAUCGACGUUCAGAUGUACAAAGUUAUACAACAGAUUUUGGAGCACAUAUAGUGUGUAUGUUUACUUUUUUGUAGCAAAACUAUUAUAUAUUUGUUUCUUGUUUUACACAUGCCUCUUUCUCUGUAUCUAUACACUCAACAGGGUUUCCAUGGAAAAGUACGUUCACAUCUAGGCAAUAGUGUAAUGAAUGAUCGCCGUUCAGAUGUACACAGUUAUACAACAGAUUUUGGACCAUUUAGGUAGUGUAUGUAUAUUUUUCCUUUUUUUUGUGUAAACAUUUUGAUAUGUUUCUUUCUGUCUUUAAACAUGACUUUCUGUAUCUGUACACACAACAGGGUUACCAUGGAAACGUACCGCUACAGCUAGGGAACGGUAUAAAGGAUGACCGACGUGCAGAUGAGCAAAGUUAUACAGCAGAUACUGGAGCAUAUUGGGUGUGUAUAUAUACUUUUUCUUCUUUUGUGGCAACACUUUGAUAUGUUUGUUUUUCGUGUUACAAUGCCUCUCUAUACACUCAACAGGGUUACCAUGGAAACGUACCUCUACAUCUAGGCAAUGAAAUAAAUGGAUGUCUGACGGUCACAGGUGCAAAGUUAUACAACAGAAUUUGGAGCAUAUAGGUAGUGUAUGUUUACUUUGUCCUUUCUUGCGCAUACAUUAUGAUUUGUUUCUUUCUCUCUUUACACAUGCCUCUCUGUAUCUAUAGAUAUAACAGGGUUACCAUGGAAGCUUACAUCUAAAUCCAGGCAAUGGUAUAAUUGGAUGACCGACGUUCAAGACUACAAACAGCAGUGAGAGAAAUAUUGCAACCGAUCACGUGGUAAACGGUUAACUUAGUCUAAAUCUAACUAAGACAUGUAAGCGAAUUCAGGUGAAAAUUGAAUUUAAAACAAAUGUCUAGAUAAUCGGUGCGCUUAUUGAUAACCCAGUAUAUGUAUGUUUUUGUUUCGUAACACCGUUCUGUCAUUGAUUUGUUUACAAUGGCUACUUGGUGGUGAUGCAGUGGUGGUGCGUUUGUGUCAGUGGUGGUGUUUGUGGCGGCGUUUUAGUGUUUGUGUUGGUGUUUUAAUGUUUGUGGUGGUGUUUUAGUGUUUGUUCCGGUGUUUUAGAGUUUGUGGUGGUGUUUGUGGUGGUGUUUUAGUGUUCAUGGCGGUGUUUUGGUGUUUGUAACGGUGUUUAUAUGUCUGUGGUGGUGUUUAUGACGGUGUUUUUUAGUGUUCGUGGCGGUGUUUUAGUGUUCGUGGUGGUGUUUUCAUUGUGGUCUUCGUGUUCUGUUUUGUCAAAAAAGUUUUUGUCUGUUGUUGCGAGUUGUUUGUAGCGUUGGGUUUUUGGUCUUUCUUUCCGUUACAAGGUGUUUUUCUUUCCACCAUUAGCAAUAUAUUAUUGCUUGAUUUAUUCCUGAAUAAUCUAAAUAUUGAGGCAUGUUUUAAAAUUUUUACUUGUCCCAUCAAUUUCAGAUUGCUUCAAAGACAUACCAUGAAAUACGUAGACGACAGACAUAACGUGCAGAUGGCAUCUGAGUAAACGCGCGCAAUUGUUCUGUUUUAUUUCAGCUUUUUGUUCUGUUUGUUUCGUAUUGCUGUUUUCUUCUACUAGAAUGUCGGGGUAUUUGGAGAAUAAAGACACAGACGGAUGUCGAAAUGCUGAUCAAACAAAAUGUGCGUUUCUUUUUACCGAGACAGGUACGUAUUACUACUUAUAUUAUCCUGUUUUAUAAGCAUUUCUCUACAGAUGUUUCCAGAAUGGUAGCUGAUGUUGACUACAAGCACGUGCGAAGAUAUAAUGUUGUAGAUAUCACAAUGGCUUAGUGGAUGGUGCAGCUAUGGAGCUUGAUAUUGACUACAAGCACGUUUACGGAAGUCAAGAGGUAGAAUUCACGGUGGUUAAACGAACAGUGCAGCUCUGGCUGAUGAUGCUGGCUAUACAAGCACGUGUAAGGCCGUCAUUUUGGAGAUUUCACAAUGGUUUAGUGGACAGUUCAGCUUUGCCUUUUCUCUGAGCAGAAUGAGAAAGAUCGGGGCGAUUUUCCUCCGGAGAAAUUCAAGAGCUUAUGAAUGCGCAUACAGUUUCUGGCUUCGAUGAAGUAAAACUCGAAGUAUUGGAUGAGAAAGUGAGAACUAUUCCAAGAGAAGCGACUUCUUGGACCAUACAUACACGAAGAAAAUUUUAGUUGAUGGAACUACAGUUACUAUAGGACUGCUUUGCUGGUACCAUGAAGAUACCGAUAACCAGAGGUGCCCUGACACCCUUUUGAGGGUGUACAUCAGAGAUAUAGUAAUAAGGUCGAAAAAGGCAAGAAGACAGUGUUUGAUAUUAUUGAAAGACAUAGAAAAAGAACAGAUUGCAGAAAAGAAAUAUCAUUUUGCCGCCGUGUGCUUGUUGUUUCCGACAGCUGACAGUCCGACGCAUAUCAGCUUGAUUUCAAACACACAAGUGAGAAAUAUCUGCAAAUGGACAAAUCCAGUAUGAUGAAUCCACGACAGACCUGGUACAAGCAUAAGAGCAUGACACCACCACAGCCGCCCUGAUACAAGCAUUGAAUAGACAAAAACUGACAUUGUAUAUAAUAAUACUCCCACGUACAAAGUAUAUGGGGCUAUAUAGGAGUCACACAUGUCUACCGGUCCGUUCGUCAGUUGUGUCCGCUGGGAAGAUUUUCAUAAAACUGGCAUCAAUUAAUAACUUCCUCAAGACUAUGUGCAGAGCGCACAAUCCAGGUGACAAGGUCCAUAGUCAAGGUCACUCUUGGAGGUCAAAAGUCAUACAGCUUACAUUUAGCGAUUACAAGUACUUGCCUUGGCGUCGACGUCAGUCACAGUUGCAUUUAAGUUAAACUUUUAUGGCAAGCUUCUCUGUGUCACUCUGUAUCUUCUUAAAUACUGUCCCUAUUAACAUCAGAACUCACAUAAGUGUUCGUCAUUGUAAUGGUCAGACAUCUAUUAGUGUAGGGUCAGGCAUCCUAAAGGUCAAGGUCACUAGGGUCAAAUAUUGCUACAGGGCUGUUAAAGUUCUAUAACAAGUUUAUGUCACAAUAUCUUAACUACUGUCCUAUAAUCAUCAAACCCAACAUAAGGAUUGGAUUUAGAAAUGGGCGAAACCCUUUGGUUUAAUGUCAGGUAGCUCAUAGGUCAAGGUCACUGGGUUUAGAUUUUGUUAAAGUAUUGGUACAAUUUUUAUUGCACACUUCUCAAUUGACUUAUAACUAUUGUUUCUUAAUACUGGGUAUCAUACCCAGCACUUUUAAGCCCUAUCCACACAUCCCCAAAAUAUAUUUCUUAAAGAAAGUUGUAUCUCAUAUUUCCGUCAUCUCCCCUACCCCCACCCUCUCCGGCUUCGCCUACCUCCCCUACCCUAUUUCACCACCUCUCUCCCUGACAAAAAUGAUUUAUUUUACAUUUUCUUUACACUUGAUUACACUGUACAUCUCGUGCCUCAUAUGUUAAAAUGAUGUUAAAGUGUUUAAGUGUCGCUUAUCACUUUUACCCUCAUUCCCACCCACUUUCAAAAUUUUAAGACAUUUUUCUACAUCUCUCACACAUUGUGUCUUAGAUUCCUUUACUUCCACGCAACUACCCCCUCCCCUCCCCCCACCCCCACGCCCCACCUCCUCCCCAGCCACCACCAACAUAAAAAUCUUUCACACGCUUGCAUUUAUGAUUUAUAAUAAUGAUAACAAUGAUAAUAAUAUCUUGGUAAACAUUUUCGAAUAGUCGAGCGGGCACAACUUAGAUCAAUAGAUCCAAGGUCAAGUUCACACUUGAAGGUCGAAAGUCAUGAUGACAACAUUUUACUACCCCUGUACCAAAGCGGCGUCUGGGGGUAUUAAUUGCCUUUAGUGAUAGCUCUAGUUGAUCUUGUUUAAGAGGCCUAAAUAUGUAACAUUUGCUUAUUUAAUAAUUGUAUCAAUUAUUUGAGAAGCUUUUGCUGAAUUUUAAGAUAAAUAUUUGGAGUUAAAAUGAGGAUUUUUUUAACAUUGAUACAGUCGGACUAUUUUUAGAUGCUAGGAAUAUUUCUAGUAUGGUUUAAUAUUGGUCAUGAAAUUAUGCACCUUUAUUUUUAUAGGAAUAUUUCUUUUUAAAACAAGUAUUUUCAUGAACACAAAAUGCGCAUUAAAUUUUGUCUUUAAUAAAUAAUGCCAGAGACAACAAAUAUAUAGAAAACUGAUUUGGUUAAUUAUUUCUAAGCGUCUCAAAAAUUUACUACUUUAUAUUAUUAAUUUCUUUCAAAAAUGAAUAUGCAUGAAUCAAUUUAUAAACAAAAAGCCACUUUCACAAAAUUUUAAUAAUAGAUUUCGGACAGAGAUUAGCUCUUGACAUUUGUUUGUUUCAGCGUAAGAUAGAAAUAUUGAAUAAUUUAAAUUGUAAACUCGUGUUCACGCGUGAAAAAUAAUUCGAUUUUAUAUACAAAUCAAAGAAAAUUUAUUUUAUGCUACUAAAUUGUACAAAUUUUACGAGUGUAACGUCACACGCAAUGUGCUACGUUACGCUUACUGUUAUGGCAAUAUAUAUAUUGGGGAAAAAAAGUAAUAUAGUUCUACGAGAUUGAUAUCUUUUACAUUUUAAUAUAGUUAUUUUCUAUUUUGUUUUUCGUUAAAAGUCUACGAGUUUAUAUGUUACUCAUAUUCUUUCGCGUUCAACUGAAGUUGCGUGCAAGUGAAAAUUGUACUUGGAUUUCCCACCUCUUAAACAGUGGGUCUAUCAAGGUAUAAUGGAUCGUUAUAUUUCAGUAAUACUCGGAAAGCUUGACACGAAAUUCCAUACUCUAGUAAUUACAUAAUGUACGGAUAAAAUCAGAGAUCUUGGUCGUCUAUAUAUAGCUUUUAAAGUCAUUUUGGCCUCAUUAUUUGUACACUGAAGUUUACACUGUUUGGCAUAACUCUUAACCGACACCUAAUUCUCAGCACUAACAUUAACCAUUGCAGCUGAAAUGACUUUUCAAGCAACUUUUUCUUUCAUAGGAAAAAAAGUUAAACUUGUUAUAAACUUUAGGCCGUUACAUCUUUAGGAAUGAUUGGUAAAAAAACGGGAUAAUCAAAUAUAGAAGUGUGGGCAAACUUUUAAGUUUUUAGUCUGCUCUUUCACUGGAGUAUAACAAUAGAUUAUAACAUGAUAAACUCAUUGAUUCAAACGGAGAGAAAUCCAAAUAUGAUUUUCACUAGUACGGAACUACACUUGAACGCGAAAGGAUAUGAACUGCAAGGACUAUAAAGGCGCUUCAAAAAGACAAUGAUGUAUAGUAAUGCUUACGAAAACACUUAAAUACGUACCGAACUAUUAAAAUGUAAAAGAUACAUUUCGUAGACCUGUCUAACUUUUUUCAAACACGAUCAUUGUGAUGUCGCGAACUAUAGCGUGACAUUACGCAUAGCACAUGGCCCCGUGCGGUUGAGUAAGAUAAGAUGAGAUAAAUCUAUAUUAAUUUGACUGGAGAUAAAUCAAUACGACGACUAAAAUAAUAAGUAAUACGAACGUGUAAUACUGAAUUAUCUUCCACUCUGGAACACCGGAUUCAAGUUUACUCGGUUAAAGAUAUUUAGAUCUUAUGCUGAAACAAGCACAUCCCCCCAUUUCUAUAUCUUUUAACGACUGUAGUAGAUAACAAGCAUCAAUGUUUUGAGGGGAAAAAACGGCUAAUACAUCAGUUGACAUAACUCAGGACAGAAGUCUAAAUAACUACUGUUAGAUCUUUUUGUUUUCUAAUCACAAGAACUUUUCACAUUAAAAAAUACGAUUUUGAAAUGAUAGUCAAAAUUCAAUUAUUUGAAUGACUGUUGUUAGAUAGUUUUGGGUUUAUUAUUCUAAGAAAAUCAGUGCAUUUUCAUAUUUGAAAUGUUUCCGAUCAUAUCUUACAGAUCUAUUAAUGAUAUACAUUUUAUAUUUUGUAUACCGUAAUCUGUAUUUUUUCCUGUUCACUGGUUAUUUUUAAGGACAUUCAGAAAUUUAAAUAUAAUCGUAAGCGUACCAUUUCUUCUCAAUGAGUUUUACUGUUUGAGGUGAGAGUAUAGUUCAGUUCAAUGAAUUUUUGCACAUGUAUUAUAUCUUAGAAAUAAUUUUCAGAACUUUUACACGUUAUUUAUUUUUUACAAUGUCAUUUGUGACUAUUUGUUCGUUGUACUGAUGCUUGAUAACUGAAUAA